UACGGGGGGAGCAAGCGUUGUUCGGAUUUACUGGGCGUAAAGGGCGCGUAGGCGGCCUGUGCAAGUCAGUUGUGAAAUCUCCGGGCUUAACUCGGAACGGUCAACUGAUACUGCUCGGCUAGAGUGCGGAAGGGGCAACUGGAAUUCUUGGUGUAGCGGUGAAAUGCGUAGAUAUCAAGAGGAACACCUGCGGCGAAGGCGGGUUGCUGGGCCGACACUGACGCUGAAGCGCGAAAGCGUGGGGAGCAAACGGG
rnacentral:rRNA from 1 species